GUGCUCGCUUCGGUAGUACAUAUACUAAAAUUGGAAUGAUACAGAAAAGAUUAACAUGGCCUCUGCACAAGAUUGAAACGUGUUCCAUAUUAAAAAAAAAAAAAGGAA